CUUUUGAAUUCCUUGCCAGAGAGAGGUCCAUUUGCCUCGUGCUGAAAGUGACCAGUCAGUAGUAAAAGUGCAGGAUUAAAGAAGACCAGGGAAAAGUGAAAUGGCUGUGAGCUUCUCUCUGUGACCCAACAUGUUCACAUGGUCAUGGUUUUUUUAGUGCUGAGAAGAGAAAAGGGGUUUUCCUCCACACUGUUGUCAAAUCACAACCAAUUGCCAUUGCACCCACAGCAGCAGCUUGAACCCUUCCAAGUACCUUCCAAGCUAUCCUCAAAGGGGGGACCUGGAGAGGGGCCUCAGAAGAAGACCUAAGGGUCUGGAUAAAGAAGAUAAGAAGCUGAUCCAACUAAAAAGGCUAGUCAAUUUUUUGUUAAAAUAGAGCAAGUCAAGGAUAGAUGAAGGUUUAAA